rnacentral:rRNA from 1 species
AACGAACGCUGGCGGCAGGCCUAACACAUGCAAGUCGAGCGAACCCUUCGGGGUUAGCGGCGGACGGGUUAGUAACGCGUGGGAAUAUACCCUUUGGUACGGAAUAGCCUCGGGAAACUGAGAGUAAUACCGUAUGUGCCCUUGGGGGAAGAUUUAUCGCCAAAGGAUUAGCCCGCGUUGGAUUAGAUAGUUGGUGGGGUAAUGGCCUACCAAGUCUACGAUCCAUAGCUGGUUUGAGAGGAUGAUCAGCAACACUGGGAUUGAGACACGGCCCAGACUCCUACGGGAGGCAGCAGUGGGGAAUCUUAGACAAUGGGCGCAAGCCUGAUCUAGCCAUGCCGCGUGGACGACGAAGGCCUUAGGGUUGUAAAGUCCUUUCAGAUGGGAAGAUAAUGACGGUACCAUCAGAAGAAGCCCCGGCUAACUCCGUGCCAGCAGCCGCGGUAAUGUCUGUACU